rnacentral:rRNA from 1 species
UACGGAAGGCAGCAGUGGGGAAUAUUGCACAAUGGGCGAAAGCCUGAUGCAGCUAUGCCGCGUGUAUGAAGAAGGCCUUAGGGUUGUAAAGUACUUUCAUCGGGGAGGAAAAAACAAAACUAAUAAUUUUAUUUCUUGACGUUACCCGAAAAAGAAGCACCGGCUAACUCCGUGCCAGCAGCCGCGGUAAUACGGAGGGUGCUAGCGUUAAUCAGAAUUACUGGGCGUAAAGAGCACGUAGGUGGUUUUUUUAAGUCAGAUGUGAAAUCCCUGGGCUUAACCUAGGAACUGCAUUUUGAAAACUGAAAAUACUAGAGUAUCGUAGAGGGAGGUAGAAAUUCUAGGUGUAGCGGUGAAAAUGCGUAGAUAUCUGGAGGAAUACCUGUGGCGAAAAGCGGCCUCCUAAACGAAUACUGACACUGAGGUGCGAAAAGCGUGGGGAGCGAAAACAGGGAUUAGAUACC